rnacentral:lncRNA from 1 species
CGCGCUGUAGGUCUACACAGAUAGGCCUGCAUGCAGACUAGCUCCUACGCGUGGUAAGAUAGGUAGGUGGUUGCAAGCUAGGCUUGCAGUGCAUGCCCGGCCUGGUGAGGCACACUGCCACCUCGGGCAGUGUGUUGCCACCCCCUUGGGCGUUGUGCACCACUUUAGGCAGUGUGCUACCGCCUUAGGUGGAGAGCCACCACCAGUGGAGGAUUCUUCCUCUAUUUUUUGCGCUACCGUCGCGUUGUAUUAAAUAGCUCAUCUUCCACUCAACUUUCUCCCUCCUCAUCAAAUUUUGCCAUUUGGUACAAAUCCAACGGUCCCCAUUUUCUAUAAAUAGGGAC